rnacentral:rRNA from 1 species
UAGGGAAUAUUGGACAAUGGGUGAGAGCCUGAUCCAGCCAUGCCGCGUGCAGGAAGAAGGCGUUAUGCGUUGUAAACUGCUUUUUGCCAGGGGAUAAAAAGACCGUGCGCGGUUAAUUGAGGGUACCUGGUGAAUAAGCCACGGCUAACUACGUGCCAGCAGCCGCGGUAAUACGUAGGUGGCAAGCGUUGUCCGGAUUUAUUGGGUUUAAAGGGUGCGUAGGUGGCCCUGUAAGUCAGUGGUGAAAUAUCUCAGCUUAACUGAGAGGGUGCCAUUGAUACUGCAGGGCUUGAGUACAGAUGAGGUAGGCGGAAUUGACGGUGUAGCGGUGAAAUGCAUAGAUAUCGUCAAGAACACCGAUAGCGAAGGCAGCUUACCAAGCUGUAACUGACACUGAGGCACGAAAGUGUGGGGGAUA